CGCGAUACCAGCCGUCGAUGUUUCUUUACCGAUAGUCUCUUCACAUUUAAGUCGAUAAUAACACAAUUCAAAUCUCAAAACACUGAAGCUCUUGCGCUCCUCUACCGUCCAUAACGCUCUCCAAAUCUCCUGUCCUAAAUUAGCUCCGCCCUCUGCCCUCUGCCCUCUGCCCUCUGCCCUCUGCCCUCCACCAUCCACCCUAGCCGCAGCCCCGCAACUUACCGUAGAUCGCUACCUGAAAGCCCUCAAAUGGCGGAGAGAAGGUCCUCAUUGCCCUAACUUGAAGAUUGUGGAAGCGGUUUUUAAUUUCUUAUUGGGUGAAGAAGAGUAAUAGUUGCAGAGAGGAAGAAGCAAUCAUAAACACCCAAUAGAUCUUGAUGUAUAAGCCCUAAGCCCUAUUGACCAACCUACAAGAUGAAAGAAUAAUGGUGUUACAGUGAAUGUUAUCAAGCUACGGUUCCUCCAAAGAGAUGCGCCGCUGCCGCUGUGUUCAAUGAAGCCCUAGGGUUUCCGAAUGUGAUGGUUCCCUGAUUUGGACGGUUGAGAUCGAUUCUGGAUCUCACUCUAUAUCUGAGGGUCCCUGUUAACGUAAGGGCUGGAUAUCGCCCGAUAUUUGGGCUUUUUGGCACAAAUCUUUUGUCUCCAGGAACUGUUGGGUUUUGAGUCCGAGUGGGCCCAUGGGCCAGAGACCAAUGUCUCCUUUUUGUUUAUUUAAUUUUUUUUUUUUUUGUGGCAA